rnacentral:misc_RNA from 1 species
GCAUCGAUGAAGAACGCAGCGAAAUGCGAUACCUAGUGUGAAUUGCAGCCAUCGUGAAUCAUCGAGUUCUUGAACGCACAUUGCGCCCGUCGGCAUUCCGGCGGGCAUGCCUGUCUGAGCGUCGUUUCCUUCUUGCAAGACGAGAGUUGCGCAGAGCUGGCCCGGCCACGGCCCCGCCGAAAAGAAACGAGGCCACGAGCGAACUAGAACAGGACGCUUGGGGUCUCCGAGCACUAUGAGCUCGACCUCAGAUCAGGUAGGAAUACCCGCUGAACUUAAGCAUAUCAAUAAGCGGAGGAG